CCUACGGGUGGCUGCAGUGGGGAAUAUUGGACAAUGGGCGAAAGCCUGAUCCAGCCAUGCCGCAUGUGUGAAGAAGGCCUUCGGGUUGUAAAGCACUUUCAGUGGGGAAGAAAGCCUUGGGGCUAAUACCCUCGAGGAAGGACAUCACCCACAGAAGAAGCACCGGCUAACUCCGUGCCAGCAGCCGCGGUAAUACGGAGGGUGCGAGCGUUAAUCGGAAUUACUGGGCGUAAAGCGCGCGUAGGCGGUCUGAUAAGCCGGUUGUGAAAGCCCCGGGCUCAACCUGGGAACGGCAUCCGGAACUGUCAGGCUAGAGUGCAGGAGAGGAAGGUAGAAUUCCCGGUGUAGCGGUGAAAUGCGUAGAGAUCGGGAGGAAUACCAGUGGCGAAGGCGGCCUUCUGGACUGACACUGACGCUGAGGUGCGAAAGCGUGGGUAGCAAACAGGAUUAGAUACCCUAGUAGU
rnacentral:rRNA from 1 species